rnacentral:lncRNA from 1 species
AUUUCCUCUGACUUCCUUGGUUGUAACUUCCUUGGCAGAUUUUUAUUUCGCCAAAUGCAUAGUGAGCCGUGACCCUGCCCAGGGCUGCUUCAGCUUCAUUAAGAUGAUUCUGGCAUUUCAGGAUCAAAGUUUCACUCUAGGAAUUACAAUGCUCGUAGGUCUACAGCUCUUCCUAACUCCAGGUCAGCUAGCAAGAUGAUAUGGCUCCUGCACUUGUGAUCUAGUGGCUCAAGAGGGUGUUAAUACUUCCUAAAGAAGACCCAAGGUAGAAGACAUCCAAAUGGUAUGUAAUUCCACACCAAGCAUACCAGAUUUGUUUUAAUAUCCUAUAAAUUUUAUAAUUUAAAAAAUAUACUAC